ACAAGCAGCGGAGCGUGUGGUUUAAUUCGAUGCAACGCGAAGAACCUUACCAGGGUUUGACAUGCUUGAAGUAGAAACUCGAAAGAGGGACGACCUGUAUCCAGUCAGGAACUUGCACAGGUGCUGCAUGGCUGUCGUCAGCUCGUGCCGUGAGGUGUUAGGUUAAGUCCUGCAACGAGCGCAACCCUCGUCGCUAGUUAAUUUCUCUAGCGAUACUGCCCGUAUAACGAGGAGGAAGGUGGGGAUGACGUCAAGUCAGCAUGGCCCUUACAUCCUGGGCUACACACACGCUACAAUGGGUGAUACAAUAGGUUGCGAAAGAGCGAUCUGGAGCUAAUCCCAAAAAUCAUUCUCAGUUCGGAUUGUAGGCUGAAACUGCCUGCAUGAAGUUGGAGUUGCUAGUAAACGCAGGUCAGCACACUGCGUUGAAUACGUUCUCGGGUCUU
rnacentral:rRNA from 1 species